CGCCACGUCACUUCCCGGGGCGGCCGCAGCCGCCGAGUGUCAGCGGCCGUGCUGUGAUGGCGGCGGCAGCCGCGGCUCGGGGCGCCGGCGGGGCUGUGCCGCUCCUGACUCGGCGUGGGCCCCGCGCCAUGGGGAGCAGCCGCGGCGGGCGGCUCGCCUGAGGCGGCGGCGGCGAUAGCGGAGGGAGGGCGCGGCACUGCCGAGGGAGCCCCGCCGCGGGGGCCGCGACCCGCGCCGCCGGGGAUGCUGCGCUGGGUCCGGCAGCAGCUGGGUUUUGACCCACCGCAUCAAAGCGACACAAGAACUAUUUAUAUAGCAAACCGUUUCCCCCAGCAUGGCCAUUAUGUUCCUCAGAAGUUUGCAGACAACAGAAUCAUAUCAUCCAAGUAUACAGUGUGGAAUUUUGUUCCAAAAAACUUAUUUGAGCAGUUCAGAAGAGUAGCCAACUUUUAUUUUCUCAUUAUAUUUUUGGUUCAGCUCAUGAUAGAUACCCCUACCAGUCCUAUUACCAGUGGAUUGCCAUUAUUCUUUGUCAUAACUGUGACAGCCAUAAAACAGGGCUAUGAGGACUGGCUACGACAUAAAGCAGACAAUGAAGUCAACGGUGCUCCAGUUUAUGUUGUUCGAAGUGGUGGCCUUGUGAAAACCAGGUCUAAAAACAUUCGGGUGGGGGACAUUGUCAGAGUAGCCAAAGAUGAGACUUUCCCUGUUGAUCUGGUGCUCCUGUCAUCUGACCGAGUGGAUGGUUCAUGCCACGUUACCACUGCAAGUUUGGAUGGAGAGACCAAUCUUAAGACACACGUUGCAGUCCCAGAAACAGCAGUGCUGCAGUCUGUUGCCAACCUGGACAAACUGGUAGCUGUUAUAGAAUGUCAGCAGCCAGAAGCAGAUCUAUACAGAUUUGUUGGAAGAAUAACUGUGAGUCAACAAGCUGAAGAAAUAGUACGACCUCUUGGGCCUGAAAGUCUCUUACUUCGUGGAGCAAGAUUAAAAAACACUAAAGAAAUAUUUGGUGUUGCUGUGUAUACAGGUAUGGAGACAAAGAUGGCAUUAAAUUACAAGAGUAAAUCUCAGAAACGGUCAGCAGUAGAAAAGUCCAUGAAUUCCUUUUUGAUUAUUUAUCUAAUAAUCCUCCUCUUUGAAGCCAUUCUGAGCACUAUUUUAAAGUAUGCAUGGCAAGCUGAAGAGAAAUGGGAUGAACCUUGGUAUAAUGAAAAAACAGAACAUGAAAGAAACAGCAGUAAGAUCCUGAGAUUUAUUUCAGAUUUUCUUGCUUUUCUGGUACUUUACAAUUUUAUUAUACCUAUUUCACUCUAUGUGACUGUUGAGAUGCAGAAAUUUCUUGGAUCAUUUUUUAUUGGCUGGGAUCUUGACCUCUAUCAUGAAGAAACAAACCAGAGAGCACAAGUAAAUACUUCAGACCUCAAUGAAGAAUUGGGACAGGUAGAAUAUGUGUUUACAGACAAAACUGGUACAUUAACUGAAAAUGAGAUGCAGUUUCGGGAGUGCUCUAUUAAUGGCAUAAAGUACCAAGAGGUCAAUGGUAAACUAACUCCAGAGGGAUUUUCUGAAGAUUCUCCAGAUGGAAAUAGGCAUGGUUUGGUGAAAGAGGAAGAGCUCUUCUUGAAAGCAGUUUGUCUGUGUCAUACAGUGCAGAUCAAUGCAGAUCAGACAGAUGGUGCUGAUGGUCCCUGGCAUGCCAAUGGAAUAACAUCCCCCCUGGAAUAUUAUGCUUCUUCCCCUGAUGAGAAGGCUUUGGUGGAAGCUGCGAGCCGGGUUGGAGUAGUAUUUACUGGAAUUAGUGGAGACAGUAUGGAAGUAAAAAGUCUUGGAAAACCAGAGAGGUAUAAAUUGCUUCAUGUUUUGGAGUUUGAUCCAAAUCGCAGACGAAUGAGUGUCAUUGUAGAGAGUCCUUCAGGGGAGAAGCUUUUAUUCACAAAGGGAGCAGAAUCUUCCAUUCUUCCUCGUAGUAAGAGUGGAGAAAUAGAUAAAACAAGGAUACAUGUGGAUGAAUUUGCUUUGAAAGGCCUAAGAACUUUGUGUGUGGCCUACAGAAGAUUCACACCUGAGGAGUACCAAGAAAUUGGCAAACGCCUUCAUGAGGCCAGGACUGCCUUACAGCAGCGGGAAGAGAGAUUAGCAGAUGUGUUCAACUUCAUAGAAAGGGAUCUGGAGUUACUUGGGGCUACAGGAGUAGAAGACAAACUGCAGGAGAAAGUCCAAGAAACUAUAGAAGCCCUCAGGCUGGCUGGUAUCAAAGUGUGGGUGCUCACUGGAGACAAGCACGAAACAGCUGUUAGUGUCAGCUUAUCCUGUGGACACUUUCACAGAACCAUGAACAUCCUUGAGCUUGUGCAGCACAAGUCAGACAGUACCUGUGCAGAACAGCUGAGGCAGCUAGCCAAGAGAAUAAAGGAAGACCAUGUUAUCCAGCAUGGACUGGUUGUGGAUGGGACCAGCCUCUCUCUUGCACUCAGGGAACAUGAAAAGCUGUUCAUGGAAGUUUGCAAAAACUGUUCUGCAGUGUUAUGCUGUCGCAUGGCACCCCUUCAGAAAGCAAAGGUGGUUCGACUGUUAAAAACCUCUCCGGAGAAGCCCAUAACGUUAGCGAUCGGAGAUGGUGCUAAUGAUGUGAGCAUGAUCCAGGAGGCACAUGUUGGCAUAGGAAUCAUGGGCAAGGAAGGAAGGCAAGCUGUAAGAAACAGUGACUAUGCAAUAGCACGGUUUAAAUUCCUCUCCAAGUUGCUUUUUGUUCAUGGGCACUUUUACUAUAUUAGAAUAGCAACCCUUGUACAGUACUUUUUUUAUAAGAAUGUGUGCUUUAUUACACCACAAUUUUUAUAUCAGUUCUUCUGUUUGUUUUCACAACAAACGCUCUAUGACAGUGUAUACCUGACUUUGUACAAUAUUUGUUUCACUUCCCUGCCUGUCCUCAUCUACAGUCUUUUUGAGCAGCAUGUGCACCCGCAUGUAUUGCAGAGUAAACCUGUGCUCUACAGAGACAUCAGUAAAAAUGCCCAUCUGGGGUUUAAACCAUUUCUUUACUGGACCAUCUUGGGCUUCUUUCAUGCAUUUGUUUUCUUUUAUGGCUCGUAUCUUCUAAUGGGAGAAGACACUUCUCUGCUGGGAAAUGGCCAGAUGUUUGGAAACUGGACAUUUGGUACUUUGGUCUUCACCGUUAUGGUUAUAACUGUUACGAUGAAGAUGGCACUAGAAACUCACUUCUGGACAUGGAUAAACCAUUUUGUUACUUGGGGAUCCAUUGUAUUUUAUUUCAUAUUCUCCUUGUUUUAUGGGGGAAUUAUCUGGCCAUUUUUACAUACCCAGGACAUGUACUUUGUAUUUGUUCAACUGUUGUCAAGUGGUUCUGCUUGGUUUGCCAUAAUCCUCAUAGUAGUUGCUUGUUUGUUUAUUGAUGUUGUGAAGAAAGUGCUGUACAGACAUCUGCAACCAUCAAGUACUGAAAAAGCUCAGAUGUACUCCAACAGAGUUGCUUUAAGUGACGAGUUCAUCGCACUGCAGCCAUUGUCCAGGGCAAGGAAUCAGCUGAGCAAAAUUAGCUUACUGAGGCAGGUUCAGGUAUCAACUGCUUGGACUCCAUGUGCUGCUUCUCAGAUGGGGAAACAGCAUGCACAUCUGUUAGAAGAAUGCUGGAACGACUAAUGGGAAGGUGUAGCCCCAGCCGGGUCAACAGUGUUUGUAAGGUUACCGAAGAAACUUGCAUUUAAACAAUUCAGGAAGGACUUAAGAAUCCAUCCCUCGGCCAAGCUCAGUGCUGCUCCAAAGGCGUCGGGACUGGCUCAGAGCCGUGUGCGCUGCCACGGCCGCCGCUGCUCCUUCGGGGACGUUGCUGUUGUCACCGCCCGGCUGCGGCUGGGCCCGCUCCGGGCUCCAGGGGGGAAGAGCUCUGCGGACGGAAAGGCGCCGCGCCCGGAGGCACAGAGCGAGGCUGGGCUGGAACAGACCCUGGCCCCGUGCCCUGGGGCUUUAUUCAUCUCUCCUCAGCGGUUUUCAAGGAAAUUACUUCAAACUGCAGCAGGUUCUCACCCUUUUUACAUUUUGACCACAGGGUAAAAGAUGGUCUGUGGAGCAUGCAGUUGAAAAUGGUAAAAAAUGAGGCGCACCUUGCUCCAGGAGGAUCGUCGUUUUUAUCUCAGAGAAUAUAUUUAUUUUUACAAUUCCUAGUUGCAGUCCCCAUGACAGAUUUCAGGUUUUAAGCAUACAAAAAUAACAAAUCAUCAUCUAGACUCCUGCUUUUUCACUGAAGGACUGAGGUUGCUUCUUUGAAGGAAAAAACUGGAAUGGUUUAAUCUCUGCAAGAAGUACCUUUUAAAAGCUGUUGAUCCUUAAUUUUAGGCAGAUUUAGAUUAGGGGUGUUGCCCACUGGAAAUGAGCAAUAAGUAAUACAAAGAAUUUUGGACCUCUGACACUGUGGCUGCCUCAUGUUAUUUUUGCUCCUUUGACAGCGAGGCCGUGUGCUUGUUCCUUGUACAGCUUGGUCAGUAGUUGUUUUGAAAAUGGUUUAUGAAAAUUAUAUUUAUUAAAUAAAAUUUUCACUUCUAGCUGAGUCAUUGUUUUAAUUAUGUAACUGGUAGAGGAAAAGAUGGCAGAGCAAAGCCAGGCUUGCUCCACCCUGGCCCUGGACCAGUCAGGAGCAGGGCUGGAGAGAAAUCACUAGCAAGACAAAGAUAACAAACCUGGGCCUCUCCCCACACAAUUCUCAAAGCCCCCUCAUCUCUCACCCUCCCAGGUUCCUUGCCCUGAUUUGAUGAUUUAUCCCUGACUCCUGCCAGUUGUCCUCUGAACACUGAAAAAAGCUUGAAAUGGUACAUUGCACAAACACAGAGCUGAGUUUAGAAAAGAGACAACUGCGUUUUCAUGCAAAACAUUCAAAUUGCAUUUAGGCAGCUUUUGCUGACUGAGAAUUCCAGAAGCUGGGUCUUGAGUUUUCUACCACUUUAAAUGGUCAGACUUGGGCCUGAGGUACAGGUGCCUAUUGAGGAGCAAAACUCUUGGUGUUUAUUUUACGCAGAUACUUCUACUUUAGUACACGUUGGUACUAAACCAGCUCCAUGUUUA